GAGCGAUCAAGUGCCUUAAGAGCAUUCGGUGGAUGCCUUGGCGCUGAGAGGCGAUGAAGGACGUGGUACGCUGCGAUAAGCCUUGGGGAGCUGCGAACGAGCUUUGAUCCAGGGAUUUCCGAAUGGGGAAACCCACCUUCGACCUUCCGUAUUGCGGGACCAGGCGCGAGCCUGGUUCCUCAAUACGGUUGGUCACAUGAAGGUAUCAAAUCCUGAAUACAUAGGGG
rnacentral:rRNA from 1 species